rnacentral:tRNA from 1 species
GGCCGUGUGCCCGAGUGGCUCAGGGCUCGCCUGCAAAGCGAGUUACACGGGUUCGAAUCCCGUCACGGCCU